GGAAUCUUAGACAAUGGGCGCAAGCCUGAUCUAGCCAUGCCGCGUGAGCGAUGAAGGCCUUAGGGUUGUAAAGCUCUUUCACCGGGGAAGAUAAUGACGGUACCCGGAGAAGAAGCCCCGGCUAACUCCGUGCCCGCAGCCGCGGUAAUACGGAGGGGGCUAGCGUUGUUCGGAAUUACUGGGCGUAAAGCGCGCGUAGGCGGGCUGUUAAGUCGGGGGUGAAAUCCCGGGGCUCAACCCCGGAACUGCCUCCAAAACUAUCGGUCUGGAGUUCGAGAGAGGUGAGUGGAAUUCCGAGUGUAGAGGUGAAAUUCGUAGAUAUUCGGAGGAACACCAGUGGCGAAGGCGGCUCACUGGCUCGAUACUGACGCUGAGGUGCGAAAGUGUGGGGAGCA
rnacentral:rRNA from 1 species